CCUACGGGAGGCAGCAGUGGGGAAUAUUGCACAAUGGGGGAAACCCUGAUGCAGCGACGCCGCGUGAGUGAAGAAGUAUUUCGGUACGUAAAGCUCUAUCAGCGGGGAAGAAAAUGACGGUACCUGACUAAGAAGCCCCGGCUAACUACGUGCCAGCAGCCGCGGUAAUACGUAGGGGGCAAGCGUUAUCCGGAUUUACUGGGUGUAAAGGGAGCGUAGACGGCAGCGCAAGUCUGGAGUGAAAUCCCAUGGCUUAACCAUGGAACUGCUUUGGAAACUGUGCAGCUAGAGUGCAGGAGAGGUAAGCGGAAUUCCUAGUGUAGCGGUGAAAUGCGUAGAUAUUAGGAGGAACACCAGUGGCGAAGGCGGCUUACUGGACUGUAACUGACGUUGAGGCUCGAAAGCGUGGGGAGCAAACAGGAUUAGAUACCCCGGUAGUC
rnacentral:rRNA from 1 species